AAAUGCAAUUACAGGGCAAGGUCUCUAUUGGCAGGAGUCCCAUUACUUCACUCUUGCAUAAGUAUAUAACAUUAUUAAUUAUAAUGUUAUUAUGCAUUUGGUUGUGAUGAGCUUUCUGCCAAAGGAGAUUUGCCCGGCAAUUCUUUU
rfam:Arabis alpina cultivar Pajares chromosome 1, whole genome shotgun sequence.